GCGCCGUUAGCUGAGUGGUUUAGCCGCCGACUCUUAAUCGGCAGACGAAGGUUCGAUUCCUUCACGGCGUA
rnacentral:tRNA from 1 species